UACGUAGGGUGCGAGCGUUAAUCGGAAUUACUGGGCGUAAAGCGUGCGCAGGCGGCGCGUUAAGACAGGUGUGAAAGCCCCGAGCUUAACUUGGGAAUUGCGCUUGUGACUGGCGUGCUGGAGUGUGGCAGAGGGAGGUGGAAUUCCACGUGUAGCAGUGAAAAUGCGUAGAGAUGUGGAGGAACACCGAUGGCGAAGGGCAGCC
rnacentral:rRNA from 1 species